rnacentral:lncRNA from 1 species
AAGCAUUGUGAAACAGAGUCAUGUUCACCAUAAGCCGAUCGGCCAAGCAAAUGCGCCAUAGAGUGCAAUUCAGCAAAAUCAGGAACAUCACUGCUGCCAUCUUCAUCUUCAGGAGCUAGCUAGAGAGCUGGUUGAAAUGCAAAAGACGAAUACAAUGAAUCUCAUACAAAUUAAAGAGAAUUUAUAGCCGAAGUACACUAAUUAAUUCAAAUCUCGAAUGUGUUGAGAUAGAUUAUAAAUUAAAAACGAUACUAUAAAGAGUGUGCUGGGAAAUCUACGUCGUUGAUACGAAGGAAAUGUUAUGGAAAUUGACAUUAACACUAUGUUUGGGAAUGGAAGAUUUUGUGGGAGGAAAAAAAAAUGGGUAGAAAGUACCUUGCAAUUCUCAUUUUCUUUUGUUCGGAAGAAGUGAGAAAAUUUGAAGAGGGGAAAACUCUCAAUAUUUUCC